ACAGAUAAGGCAACACAUCGUUUUGAUAUGCUAAUGAAGGGAUAAUGAGUUAUGACGUCAUAAUAUACGCCCCGCCUCUGUAUUACCAUAUAUAGAACAUAUACCGAAAACAGCAGUUUAAGCAUAAAAUACGGCUGAUUUAAUACUUCAUAAGCCAAAUAUAACUACGAAUCACUCAUGUGUGUUUUUAUAAGUUUACAACAAUAAGAAUAUACGAAGAAUUUCCAUAACGCAUCUGUCGUAUGGGUGUGAAUCUGCGUCCCAAAAGCGCUCGUCAGACGAUGUAAACACGUGUAACUGGUAUUCCCGAUGAUGGCGAUCUUUUGAUGAUUUAUCAGCUGGUACCUGCUUUGUCUUGAGAUUUACAUAAAUGAUGUUCUUAUUCACCCUUAUCCUGGUGUCAUAUACAAGAUGAAAUGAUGGAAAGAAAAACCUGAACUUUAGGAACAGGAAGACUGUGUUUUUGAAGAGAGAAGAGGACCAGAACUAAGAAGUCAUACAAUAAACACAUUGACAUCCUAAAAAGAAAUUGCAAUUUUGAGUUUGCAUGCAUAUGUCAGGUUUAAAUGUUGUCACAGAAUUUUUUUUUCAGAAAGUCCCUUUAUCUUCUUGAAUUAAUAAAACAAAUGAACCAAAUAUAA